rnacentral:ncRNA from 1 species
GUAAAAUCCCUUGCAGACGACUUGAAUGUAGAAGCGGGGGCUGUACGCAGUAGAGUAGCCUUGUUGCUACGAUCUGCUGAGGCUUAUCCCGUCUUCUCUAGAUUU